UGAACUACCAAACUGUUCAAAUUUUGCUCCAACAAUCCCCAACCCACGGCAAACUGAUAAGAUAGAGCGUGAGAAUUAGGAUUUGUGAGCAUAACAACUAAGAGAAACCAACUGUUGAAUUUACCAGUGAUACCAAUGCAUGCUUCAGAUGAAUUUACCAAUUGAUAACGUUUGUAAAGUGCUUUCUUACCUGUGCUCUAACAAUAUUUCAGUCACUGAGCAACAAUGUUUUCUAGCAAUUAAACAUUUUCAGCGUCUCUUACUUGAAACGAGUUAUAAAGAGAAUUAAGAGAAAGGAAGAGUAAAUGCGCAACUGGUGUCAAAUAUUGUAAACAUUAAUUUAGGAUUGUAUUGACUUCGAGUAUACCAUAUAUUCAAUAAACAUACAUAUGCAUGUAUAAAUUUCGUUAAACUACAUAUAUAUGUAUCUGUACGAGAACAUUAAAACAUCAUCACCAUUGACAAUAUUUUAAUUUUUGUGGGUAUAUAGGCAGCUAAAACCUAUUGUGAAAAAUAGAAUUGAACAAUAUAAAAAUAAAUAUGAAGAGUUUGAACUUUUAGAGGACUACUCUUGAAUUCAUUUACAUGGUCAAUAAAAUGCACUUCAAUUCUUUCGUUCACAUUUCUCUGUCAGUUGUUGCGGGUGCUGGUGAUUUUACUUUGCUUUUGUAUCUCUUCCACACUACUCAUUUUCCUGACAUGGCGGGGUACUGUGAAACGAAUAAAAAUGACAUGUUCAGCCUCAAUGGCCCCGGCAACCAUUGCCCUAACAAUAAUAGCGGAAUAAGUAAAAGCAAUGAAGUAACAAACUUGGCAUGCAUGCGAAACACUGUGUGGCUGAAUGUGGAAUUAAGUCAAAAUCGGGUUGAGUUGUAGAAGGGAAUGAGGAUCAGCGGGUUGGCACUGUUGUACUCGGUCGUAGCCUGUAUUAGCAUUAAGUGCUUGUGCGCAUUAUAAGCUUUGCAAUAACUACAAG